rnacentral:rRNA from 1 species
GACGAACGCUGGCGGCGUGCUUAACACAUGCAAGUCGAACGGAAAGGCCCUGCUUUUGUGGGGUGCUCGAGUGGCGAACGGGUGAGUAACACGUGAGUAACCUGCCCUUGACUUUGGGAUAACUUCAGGAAACUGGGGCUAAUACCGGAUAGGAGCUCCUGCUGCAUGGUGGGGGUUGGAACGUUUCGGCGGUUGGGGAUGGACUCGCGGCUUAUCAGCUUGUUGGUGGGGUAGUGGCUUACCAAGGCUUUGACGGGUAGCCGGCCUGAGAGGGUGACCGGCGACAUUGGGACUGAGAUACGGCCCAGACUCCUACGGGAGGCAGCAGUGGGGAAUAUUGCACAAUGGGCGGAAGCCUGAUACAGCAACGCCGCGUGCGGGAUGACGGCCUUCGGGUUGUAAACCGCUUUCGCCUGUGACGAAGCGUGAGUGACGGUAAUGGGUAAAGAAGCACCGGCUAACUACGUG